rnacentral:misc_RNA from 1 species
GAUGAAGAACGCAGCGAAAUGCGAUAAGUAGUGUGAAUUGCAGAAUUCAGUGAAUCAUCGAAUCUUUGAACGCACAUUGCGCCCCAUGGUAUUCCGUGGGGCAUGCCUGUUCGAGCGUCAUUUACCCCCUCAAGCUCCGCUUGGUGUUGGGCGUCUGUCCCGCUUCGCGCGCGGACUCGCCCCAAAGGUAUUGGCAGCGGUCGUGCCAGCUUCUCGCGCAGCACAUUGCGCUUCUCGAGGCACCGGUGGGCCCGCGUCCAUCAGGCUCACCCCCCCAGUUUGACCUCGGAUCAGGUAGGGAUACCCGCUGAACUUAAGCAUAUCAAUAAGCGGAGGA